ensembl:lncRNA
GAGAUGGGAAGGGAUAGGGAUGGAGAAGGGAUGGAGAAGGGAUGGGGAUGGAGAUGGAAAGGGAUGGAGAUGGGAAGGGAUGGCGAUGGGAAGGGAUGGGGAUGGAUGGAAAGGGAUGGAGAUGAAUGGAGAGAGAGAGAUGGGGAUGGGAAGGGAUGAAACGGGAUGGAAGGAGAUGGGGAUGGGGAUGGGAAGGGAUGGAGAAGGAGAUGGGGAUGGAGAUGGAGAUGGGAAGAGAUGGAGGUGGGGAUGGAGAGAGAUGAGAAGAAGGGACGGAGGUGGGGAUGGAAAGGGAUGGGGAUGGGAAGAGAUGGGAAGGGAUAGGGAUGGAGAAGGGAUGGAGAAGGGAUGGAAAGAGAUGGGGAUGGAGAUGGAAAGAGAUGGGGAUGGAAAGGGAUGGAUGGGGAUGGAGAUGGAAAGGGAUGGAGAAGGGGAUGGGAAGA